rnacentral:rRNA from 1 species
UACGAAGGGGGCUAGCGUUGCUCGGAAUCACUGGGCGUAAAGGGUGCGUAGGCGGGUCUUUAAGUCAGGGGUGAAAUCCUGGAGCUCAACUCCAGAACUGCCUUCGAUACUGGCGAUCUUGAGUCCGGGAGAGGUGAGUGGAACUCCGAGUGUAGAGGUGAAAUUCGUAGAUAUUCGGAAGAACACCAGUGGCGAAGGCGGCUCACUGGCCCGGUACUGACGCUGAGGUGCGAAAGGCGUGGGGAGCAAACAGGG